UUUGAACCAUUCUGUGAUUUAUUUUUUCCUUAGAAGUGGAAACAACCUGGGAUUCCUAUUUUUGGGGUUUGCACUGGUUCCACCCACGAUGGAAAAUGCUGGAAAUGAGAAGAGUGAAAAGCCCAAACUGGUGUCAGGCUGACAAGGUUUUGGUUUUACUCAUUUGGAUACUUGGGAGCAGAAUUUAACCUGGAGAAGUUCUCACUGUGUGGUUUGCAAGGAGAUCUCCCCACGAGCUGAUGGAACCUCCAGAGCCCAUCCCAACUUCCAUCAUCCCAGGAUUCUGAGUAAAUGUGGGAUCCCAGGGGAUAGCAGUGGGAUUUUAUCAUUCACCUCUGACUGCACUGCCAUAAAAGAGCCCCAGAAACCACUCAGGGGCUCACAUUCCUUGGCACUGCAAAGGAUCUUCAUUAAAUGCAAAAUUAAUAAAAAGCCAAAGAGAAA
rnacentral:lncRNA from 1 species